AAACGCGCAAAGUCAAGGAAUAUAGAUCUCGACUGAACGUCGCAAUAACACUGUCAUGUUUAGUGAGAGGUGGUUGUAGAGUAAACCAAGCAUCACUAUUUGUAGUGGUGAGAUAUUUGAAACCGGUGUCAAUAGUGUUUAUAGUAGCAUACGAAUGAUCUUAAAUUUUGAUAAAAUAGUGACGUGUAUUAUUUUUGUUUAUUCAGCGUUUUACUUCCAUUGUCAUUCGCUGUAUUAAAUGUUUGUUGGUUUUUUAACCAAUUGAUUACUAUGACCGAAUCUAAAUAACGCAACCUAAUUUGUAAACAAUGCACUAAAGGCAAUGUUUAUGUUUUUAAACAUGGCAACAUGCGUUAUGUAAACCACCCGAAAUAUGUUGUCACUAAUACAAUCAUCGAUGCUACCGGAUCGUUUGUAAACAGAUUCCCAAAAAAAGAAGAGAAGAGAAAAUAAGAGAGACAGUUUGAUGGCCGACCGUAACAGAAUCAUUUCAUCACUUCUCAGCUGCCCAAGAGUUGUCACCAA